UACGUAGGGGGCAAGCGUUGUCCGGAAUCAUUGGGCGUAAAGCGCGUGUAGGCGGCCCGGUAAGUCCGCUGUGAAAGUCGGGGGCUCAACCCUCGAAUGCCGGUGGAUACUGUCGGGCUAGAGUGCGGGAGAGGCGAGUGGAAUUCCUGGUGUAGCGGUGAAAUGACGCAGAUAUCAGGAGGAACACCAAUUGCGAAGGCAGCUCGCUGGAACGUAACUGACGCUGAGACGCGAAAGCGUGGGGAGCAAACAGG
rnacentral:rRNA from 1 species